GCCGGGGUAGCUCAGUGGUAGAGCGCGGCCCUGAAAAGGCCGGCGUGGACAGUCCGAUUCUGUCCCCCGGCA
rnacentral:tRNA from 1 species